rnacentral:rRNA from 1 species
GACGAACGCUGGCGGCGUGCUUAACACAUGCAAGUCGAACGGAAAGGCCUUUUCGGAGGUACUCGAGUGGCGAACGGGUGAGUAACACGUGGUGAUCUGCCCUGCACUCUGGGAUAAGCCUGGGAAACUGGGUCUAAUACCGGAUAGGACCGCACUUUAGUGUGUGUGGUGGAAAGUUUUUUCGGUGUAGGAUGAGCCCGCGGCCUAUCAGCUUGUUGGUGGGGUAAUGGCCUACCAAGGCGGCGACGGGUAGCCGGACUGAGAGGUUGGUCGGCCACAUUGGGACUGAGAUACGGCCCAGACUCCUACGGGAGGCAGCAGUGGGGAAUAUUGCACAAUGGGCGCAAGCCUGAUGCAGCGACGCCGCGUGGGGGAUGACGGCCUUCGGGUUGUAAACUCCUUUCGCCAGGGACGAAGCGUUUUGUGACGGUACCUGGAGAAGAAGCACCGGCUAACUACGUG